AAUCUACCAAUUGCUCAGGAAUGCUCCCAACAAGCUUAUUUGAGGAGAGGUCUAACCAUUCAAGAUUUGACAAAUUUCCCAUUGCCUGUGGUAUAUGUCCUGUUAAAUGGUUAUGAGAAAAAUUUAGCCCUGUUAGAUGUAAAAGCCCUCCAAUACUUUCAGAAAUUUCUCCUCUGAAAUGAUUAUAUGACAAAUCAAUCAUUGCAAAUAUAUCAA
rnacentral:misc_RNA from 1 species